UACGGGGGGAGCAAGCGUUGUUCGGAUUUACUGGGCGUAAAGGGCGCGUAGGCGGUCAGCACAAGUCAGUUGUGAAAUCUCCGGGCUUAACUCGGAAAGGUCAACUGAUACUGUGCGACUAGAGUGCGGAAGGGGCAACUGGAAUUCUCGGUGUAGCGGUGAAAUGCGUAGAUAUCGAGAGGAACACCUGUGGCGAAGGCGGGUCUCUGGGCCGAUACUGACGCUGAGGAGCGAAAGCGUGGGGAGCGAACAGG
rnacentral:rRNA from 1 species